UGCGACCCCAGGUCAGGCGGGAUUACCCGCUGAG
rnacentral:rRNA from 3 species